rnacentral:rRNA from 1 species
UACAGAGGGGGCAAGCGUUGUUCGGAAUUACUGGGCGUAAAGGGCGCGUAGGCGGCCUGUUAAGUCGAACGUGAAAUCCCCGGGCUCAACCCGGGAACUGCGUCCGAUACUGGCAGGCUUGAAUCCGGGAGAGGGAUGCGGAAUUCCAGGUGUAGCGGUGAAAUGCGUAGAGAUUGGGAAGAACAUCCGUGGCGAAAGCGCUCUGCUGGACUGCAACUGACAUUGAGGGACGAAAGCUAGGGGAGCGAAUGGG